UCGCGGAUUUUGAUGAAAUUAGGUUUAUUCAACGAUUUUGCAUAAAACGAAAGAAUCUGGUAGAAAUAAGCGUCGCUCUGCCCCGCGAACCAAGAUAUUAAGCGUUAAAGUUGACUACUAUUCAUUCAGAUUAGGAAAUCUCAUACUUCAAUUAAAGGCAUCUUUACAUAGGAGCGUCGAGCGUCGAGCAUUGUGAGCUUAGCAUUCGCUAAAAACAGGUCAGGUGAUCAAAAUUGACGAAUAGCAAUCACACGAUGUUUGACGUUCGACGCUUGAUGCUGCCACGUAAGAAUACUUUAAUUCCUCUAAAGAUAAUUCUCUGCUUUAACUGUACAAGGGCAUGUUCGGAUUCCCAUCUGGGUGCUCCCCGGGUGUCAUGUCAUCCUUAUUGUUUAAUGUUUAAUAAACGUUAAACAAGGAUGACACGACACCCGAGAAGCACCCAGAUGGGACGCAUCUUGAAAGGUCUAUUUGCAUUGCCUGAAAUCCUCAAACAUCUUUGAACUUAAAAGGAGAUGGAUACAUUUGGACGUCGAAAAGAGAAAAAGUGAAGAUGCUGAGUGCAAAAAGUGCAAGCAAUGCGAACAGACCGAAAUUCUCUACUUUAUAAAUACAA